UACGUAGGGGGCAAGCGUUGUUCGGAUUUACUGGGCGUAAAGGGCGCGUAGGCGGCCACCGCAAGUCAGUUGUGAAAUCUCUGGGCUUAACCCAGAAAGGUCAACUGAUACUGCGGGGCUAGAGUGCAGAAGGGGCAACUGGAAUUCUCGGUGUAGCGGUGAAAUGCGUAGAUAUCGAGAGGAACACCUGCGGCGAAGGCGGGUUGCUGGGCUGACACUGACGCUGAAGCGCGAAAGCUAGGGGAGCGAACGGG
rnacentral:rRNA from 1 species